UAAUACGUAGGGAGCGAGCGUUAUCCGGAUUUAUUGGGUGUAAAGGGUGCGUAGACGGGACAGCAAGUUAGUUGUGAAAUCCCUCGGCUUAACUGAGGAACUGCAACUAAAACUGUUAUUCUUGAGUGUUGGAGAGGAAAGUGGAAUUCCUAGUGUAGCGGUGAAAUGCGUAGAUAUUAGGAAGAACACCAGUGGCGAAGGCGACUUUCUGGACAAUAACUGACGUUGAGGCACGAAAGUGUGGGGAGCAAACAGG
rnacentral:rRNA from 1 species